UUCCUGGCAGGCUGAAAAAGGUGUGUGUUUGAUAGGGGUUUUGGAGAAGGCUCAGAGUAAGCUUCCCAAAAUGAUGAAUAGAUGGAAUGGAUAUUUGGUUAGCCACCUGCUCAGCCGUUGGUAAAAGCCCUUCUCCUUGAGGGUCUGUCCAGUGCACAUGCAAUGGUUGUGGGAGUUAACAAAUUCACAAGCAAUUACUGUUCAUAUUCCAGUGAGGCUGUGAUAGCAUUUUUCUUAUAUGCAUAUCUGGAUUUCCCUCCCUGAAAUUCUCCCCGUCUCAGGAGAACCUCAGCCAUGGCUGUCCUGACUCUGGAUGACCCGAGAGGCAGGUGACAAGGAGGCAGAGAAUGGACUUACUCAAAAAGACAAAGGGCACACCAGUCAAGUUAUUCACCAAGAUGGUCCCCCAGGAGUGCUGCAGGAGCGAAAGGGAAUCACAAACUAUACCAGGGUAGUGCAGCUUUUCCUCAUAAUCUACAAACAACA